rnacentral:rRNA from 1 species
GAUGAACGCUGGCGGCGUGCCUAAUACAUGCCAGUCGAGCGAACGGAUUAAGAGCUUGCUCUUAUGAAGUUAGCGGCGGACGGGUGAGUAACACGUGGGUAACCUGCCCAUAAGACUGGGAUAACUCCGGGAAACCGGGGCUAAUACCGGAUAACAUUUUGAACCGCAUGGUUCGAAAUUGAAAGGCGGCUUCGGCUGUCACUUAUGGAUGGACCCGCGUCGCAUUAGCUAGUUGGUGAGGUAACGGCUCACCAAGGCACCGAUGAGUAGCCGACCUAAGGGGGUGUUCGGGCAGACUGGGACUGAGACACGGCCCAGACUCCUACGGGAGGUAGCGGUAUGGAGUCUUCCAGAAUGGACGAAAGUCUGGCGGAGCAACGCCGCGGGAUUGAUGGAGUGUUUCAGGGCGUAAAACGCUGUAGUUAGGGAAGAACAAUCGCUAGUUGAAUAAGCUGGCACCUUGACGGUACCUAACCAGAAAGCCACGGCUAACUACGUGCCAGCCGCCGCCGUAA